UACGUAGGUGGCAAGCGUUGUCCGGAUUUAUUGGGUUUAAAGGGUGCGUAGGCGGUUUGUUAAGUCAGUGGUGAAAGACGAUUGCUCAACAAUUGCAGUGCCAUUGAUACUGACAAACUUGAGUGACGCAGAGGUAGCUGGAAUUGAUUGUGUAGCGGUGAAAUGCAUAGAUAUGAUCAAGAACGCCGAUAGCGAAGGCAGGUUACUGGACGUCAACUGACGCUGAGGCACGAAAGUGUGGGUAUCAAACAGG
rnacentral:rRNA from 1 species